GCUUACGGCCAUAUCAGCCUGGGUACGCCCGAUCUCGUCUGAUCUCGGAAGCUAAGCGGUUCGGGCCUGGUUAGUACUUGGAUGGGAGACCGCCUGCGAAUACCAGGUGCUGUAAGCA
rnacentral:rRNA from 1 species